rnacentral:rRNA from 1 species
GACGAACGCUGGCGGCGUGCCUAACACAUGCAAGUCGAACGGAGUGUUUAUUUAUAAACACUUAGUGGCGAACGGGUGAGUAACGCGUAGACAACCUACCCUCUAGAUGGGGACAACACCGCGAAAGUGGUGCUAUACCGAAUGUUGUAAUGUUGUUGCAUAAUGAUAUUACUAGAGGUGGCCUCUAUAUAUAAGCUACCGCUAGAAGAUGGGUCUGGGUCUGAUUAGAUAGUUGGUGAGAUAACAGCUCACCAAGGCAAUGAUCAGUAGCCGGUCUGAGAGGAUGAACGGCCACACUGGGACUGAGACACGGCCCAGACUCCUACGGGAGGCAGCAGUGGGGAAUCUUCCGCAAUGGACGAAAGUCUGACGGAGCAACGCCGCGUGAGUGAAGAAGGUUUUCGGAUCGUAAAGCUCUGUCUUCAAGGACGAAUGUAAAUAUUGUGAAUAAUGAUAUUUAAUGACGGUACUUGAGGAGGAAGCCACGGCUAACUACGUGCCAGCCGCCGCAGUAA